rnacentral:rRNA from 1 species
UACGGAGGGGGCUAGCGUUGUUCGGAAUUACUGGGCGUAAAGCGCACGUAGGCGGCUUUGUAAGUUAGAGGUGAAAGCCCGGGGCUCAACUCCAGAACUGCCUUUGAUACUGGCGACCUUGAGUCCGGGAGAGGUGAGUGGAACUGCGAGUGUAGAGGUGAAAUUCGUAGAUAUCCGGAGGAACACCAAUGGCGAAGGCAGCUCGCUGGGACGGUACUGACGCUGAGACGCGAAAGCGUGGGGAGCAAACAGG